rnacentral:sRNA from 1 species
UGUGCGUUGCGACAUAUAAAAGAAAUUAUUUUAUAAUAUUUCCUAAAAUAAAUAAAAAUAUAUUUUCCUUAAAAUGUGUUAUACAUCUUUUUUCUAUAGGGAAUAUUCACCUUGAUUUGAUUUUAUAUGUCGGUACCCAUUAAGAUUUGGUUGUUUCUUAAUAUUAAGAAGUUCAAGGAGUAAUUUGCAAAAUUUACAAUGGGAGUUGGUGGGGUGGCAAAUUCAUGGCCACCACCACUACCUCAUUUUAAAUGAGUAUAGAUAUAGACUAUGGAAAUUGCUUUAGAUGUCCUUCAAUCUACUUCGGAUUGAACUAAACAGCGCUUUGUCCUAAUUAGUUCUGUUGCAUACCUCAGGGAGAAAGUCUUUUGACUCUGCUAUGGAUGUCUCCACAAGAACCUUAACAGCUACUUCAUCAUUAUUUUCCAGUAUGCCAUGAUAAACAGUACCAAAACCUCCUUUUCCAAUGAUUGAUUGGAAAUUGUUAGUUAUGAGCUUCAGCUCUGCAUAUGUGAACCUUCUGAUGUCGAUAUGUAGGGGAGUCUCCUCUUCAUACAUAUCAUAAUCUUCUUCUUCUGAUUUUCUUGACUUCCCUGCAAAUUCCAGAAGAUGCAUUUUUCAUGGAAGUAAAUGUUUGGAACUGUUGUCUAUUGUUUUACACUUAUUGCAUUGGUUAAACAGGACUUAACCAAAAAGCACUUUCUUUUACCUUUCCAGCAUAACCUCCAGAAUAUGAACAGCACCACUAGGAGAGAUGUCACAGGAACUAACACACUGAUGAGCAAAAUACGUGUGCGUGUGUUCUUCUUAUUUCCACAGUAGCUAGCUCUGACUUUGGAGCAUAUGGGAUUGCCUUCUAGUCUAGUGAUUCAUUUACACAGCAGAUAAACAUGAACUAAAUCAGCCAAAGAAACACAAAAGUAAAAACACAGAGAUAGGUUAGAAAUAUCUUUAAAAUUAUUGCAAUGGACACCUGCUUUUUUCUAACAUGACCAACCUCCUUAUAUUACAAUUGUAAUCUAAAAAACUAAAUGUUUCUAAAGCAUAUGCAGUUAUUAAUAUUUUCACAUCUGCCCCUCAAGUAGUUUCGGAUUCAGAAGGUUUGCUUUCUAUGUGCAGAUGUCGUAUUUCCAUGUGAUGGUUAACCUUUAGUUGAUUUUGCCUUUUGAGCAGUUUUUUUUUUAUCAUCUUUUCUUCUAUUGAUAAGGAGCCAUGUUCAAGGAGAAGCCAAACCUUAGCUCAAGCAAACCGGCUUUGUAUCUUUGAAGAAUAGAAUCAGGGAUGGAUCCAUUGAGCUGGUUAUUAGACAAGUCACUGAAAAAACAGCACUUCAAAUCAUUCAUUCAUUUAAAUUUUAUAUUAGGCACUAAAGAUCCCAUCAAUUGCUGUAGAGACUUACAUAACAGUGAGGGAAUUUACUUGAUAGUCUGGAAUGGUGCCUGUCAGGUUGUUGUGUGAUAAAUCCCUGCAUGUUUUUAGAUGUUUAGGAUUGCAUCGAUGUCCACCCAAUUUCAUUUAGUUUGUGAAUGGUAGAUAGCACUUACAAUUUCUUCAGUGAUGACAUUUUCAUGAAUGAUAUUUCUAACUCUCCUUGCAGACCGCUGCCAGAUAGAUUUCUGCAUAGCAACUCGUUUUAACAUAGUAAUAAUAUCCACCAUCAUUUUUUUUUUCAAAACCAAAAUGUUUUGUUCUUACAUUUCAACAAUCCUUGGGUUCUGGCCACCAUUAGGGUAGGUGCAAGUCAAACCAUUCCAGUUUUUGAUUACCAUGUACUUCUCUUUGAUUGUUUUCAUGGAGUCAACUAAGCAAAUGGUACAAACAACACAGAAUAGGUGUCAAUAUAUGAUGCUUCAGUCAGCUUGGUCUCAGGAUAAUCUACAUUAGCAUUGAUGUGUUUACUGUAUGUUAUGCAACAGGUUCCUUACAAAUUGGAAUGAGUAAUAGUGAAGCCAAUUGACGUACCAUCACUUGAAGCAGUGGUGAAGUUCUCCACCUGGACACGGGAGUACACCUCAUAUGCGUUAAUAAGAGGUGGUAGCUGUGAGUCUGGGGUCUUGCGAAGCUGAAAAUAUGCCCUUCUGCCUUUGCGCAAGAACCAGUUGUGGAACAUGGAGCUCAGGAAUGACGGUGGGCUGAAGUUGGAGAACAGUGCUUGCGGUUCAUCGACAUUGUAGAUGUCAAAAAUUCUCUUUGAACCAUUAUUGCCGAGUUCAACAAAGUGAAAGACUGGAAGAAGCUCUAGGUCUGUUGCGAGAGAGUUACUGGCACUAACGCUGAUGUUGAGCCAAGAGAAGUUUCCGUUUAUGGUUGAAGCGCUUCCCAGAAUGGCUGGAGGAAGCCCAAAGGUGUCAAUAUUAGGAAGUUCAGCCACCUUGCCGUUGCUACUCUUAUUAACCCAUGGAAAGGUGUGCAUGGUAAAGACCCAGCCCUCCCAGAAGCGAUCAUACUGAUCCGUUGGGAAUCUGACCAUGACAGAGGACAAAACAAAGAAAAGAUUAUGCCAACGUAAAUAUAACUGGAUUCAGCAUUGUCAUUGCCGUUGUUUUUGCUAAGCUUUAAGGCUUAUGGCUAUUGAUGUACUCGCUCCGGUCAUAAAUAUUUGAUAUUUGGAGUAAAUUUUGAUCAUAUUUUCAAAGCUUCG